UGGGGAAUAUUGCGCAAUGGGGGGAACCCUGACGCAGCAACGCCGCGUGAAGGAUGAAGGUUUUCGGAUUGUAAACUUCUUUGAUGAGGGACGAAAGAAAUGACGGUACCUCAAAAACAAGCCACGGCUAACUACGUGCC
rnacentral:rRNA from 1 species